rnacentral:rRNA from 1 species
CGGGUGAGUAAUACAUCGGAACGUGCCCAGUAGUGGGGGAUAACCCGGCGAAAGCCGGACUAAUACCGCAUACGACCUAUGGGUGAAAGCAGGGGAUCGCAAGACCUUGCGCUAUUGGAGCGGCCGAUGUCAGAUUAGCUAGUUGGCGGGGUAAAAGCCCACCAAGGCGACGAUCUGUAGCUGGUCUGAGAGGACGACCAGCCACACUGGGACUGAGACACGGCCCAG